CUUUCUCUGGCUCCCUCGGCACUCGCCGUGUCUCCAAGCCGCUGAAUUGCAUCCCCGCGGGAGCAGGGGCGAGGGUCGCCUGCAGCCCGGCAUCCUCCUCUUGCCCUCUCUCACCUCCCUUCUCCCCGAGGAAGCUCCUUUGCUCCUUUUCUCCUCUGUCGGUCCUCAAGUGCAUCAGUAAUCCCUGCUGCGGCUGCUGCUGCGGCUGCACCUGGGAACGGCAGGAUCUGCAAGUUAUUUCUGCGCCGGUAAAGCCAUAAGUGAAGAGGAAAAGCCAUGUCCAGUACAGGAGAGCAACGUGCCAGGCUGGGUACCAGCCAGCAACUUUUUCCAUCGCUGCCGACUGCUGAUGAGUGCGAGGAGAAGGAGCAAGAAGGAGAGGGCAGAGCGAGAGAGCCGGGCGCUGCCGAUUCCGCCGCCGCGGAGUAAACACGGCGAGAACUCCACGGCAUUUCAGAAAACGAUUUACAGAUUUGUUCCACAUUCUUCUAGAGAUUUCACUCAAAUGCUCACUGGUGACACGUCUUGGGAUAUUAGCACAGCACCAGAGAGAAGACUGUGUAAUGAACGGAGACCAAGAAGAACACUGCUCCAUUGAUUCCUAUCAAGCCAUGGUGAGUGAUGAAUACUGUAGUUUGACAUUGCACAUAAUUCCCCCAAACAGAAUCUCUGUUAAAACAAACAAACAAAUCAGGAUACAACAGGUCUUGUUGCAGUUUCCCUUGGGGGGGAAAAAAUGACUUUCAGCUGUAAAUAUCACAAAAACUUGAGUGCUUGUUUUGUUUUGUUUUGUUUUGUUUUGUUUUGUUUUCUAAAUAAGGUUUGGAUGCUCCAUACUUUAAAUAAAAUAGGGACUAAUUAUAUAUAUAUAUAUAUA
rnacentral:lncRNA from 1 species